GAUGAACGCUGGCGGCGUGCUUAACACAUGCAAGUCGAACGAUGAAGCUGGGGCUUGCUCUGGUGGAUUAGUGGCGAACGGGUGAGUAACACGUGAGCAACCUGCCCCUGACUCUGGGAUAAGCGCUGGAAACGGUGUCUAAUACUGGAUACGAGACGGAACCGCAUGGUUACUGUUUGGAAAGAUUUAUCGGUUGGGGAUGGGCUCGCGGCCUAUCAGCUUGUUGGUGAGGUAAUGGCUCACCAAGGCGUCGACGGGUAGCCGGCCUGAGAGGGUGACCGGCCACACUGGGACUGAGAGACGGCCCAGACUCCUACGGGAGGCAGCAGUGGGGAAUAUUGCACAAUGGGCGCAAGCCUGAUGCAGCAACGCCGCGUGAGGGAUGACGGCCUUCGGGUUGUAAACCUCUUUUAGUAGGGAAGAAGCGUAAGUGACGGUACCUGCAGAAAAAGCACCGGCUAACUACGUGCCAGCAGCCGCAGUAA
rnacentral:rRNA from 1 species